rnacentral:rRNA from 1 species
CACCGCGGUUAUACGAGAGACUCAAGUUGACAAUCAUCGGCGUAAAGAGUGGUUAAGAUGUAUAAAAACUAGAGCUAAAUACCCUCAAAGCUGUUAUACGCUCUCGAAGGUAAGAAGCCCAACUACGAAAGUGGCUCUAUCAUAUCUGAUUCCACGAAAGCUAGGGCA